GUAACACGUAGGUAACCUGCCCAUGUGCCCGGGAUAACUUCUGGAAACGGAUGCUAAAACCGGAUAGGUAGCAGACAAGCAUUUGACUGCUAUUAAAGUGGCUAAGGCCAUGAACAUGGAUGGACCUGCGGUGCAUUAGCUAGUUGGUGAGGUAACGGCCCACCAAGGCGACGAUGCAUAGCCGGCCUGAGAGGGCGGACGGCCACAUUGGGACUGAGACACGGCCCAAACUCCUACGGGAGGCAGCAUG
rnacentral:rRNA from 1 species